AUUGAACGCUGGCGGCAGGCCAACACAUGCAAGUCGAGCGGAUGAAGGGAGCUUGCUCCUGGAUUCAGCGGCGGACGGGUGAGUAAUGCCUAGGAAUCUGCCUGGUAGUGGGGGAUAACGUCCGGAAACGGGCGCUAAUACCGCAUACGUCCUGAGGGAGAAAGUGGGGGAUCUUCGGACCUCACGCUAUCAGAUGAGCCUAGGUCGGAUUAGCUAGUUGGUGGGGUAAAGGCCUACCAAGGCGACGAUCCGUAACUGGUCUAAGAGGAUGAUCAGUCACACUGGAACUGAGACACGGUCCAGACUCCUACGGGAGGCAGCAGUGGGGAAUAUUGGACAAUGGGCGAAAGCCUGAUCCAGCCAUGCCGCGUGUGUGAAGAAGGUCUUCGGAUUGUAAAGCACUUUAAGUUGGGAGGAAGGGCAGUAAGUUAAUACCUUGCUGUUUUGACGUUACCAACAGAAUAAGCACCGGCUAACUUCGUG
rnacentral:rRNA from 1 species